GAUGAACGCUGGCGGCGUGCCUAAUACAUGCAAGUCGAGCGAACAGACGAGGAGCUUGCUCCUCUGACGUUAGCGGCGGACGGGUGAGUAACACGUGGAUAACCUACCUAUAAGACUGGGAUAACUUCGGGAAACCGGAGCUAAUACCGGAUAAUAUAUUGAACCGCAUGGUUCAAUAGUGAAAGACGGUUUUGCUGUCACUUAUAGAUGGAUCCGCGCCGCAUUAGCUAGUUGGUAAGGUAACGGCUUACCAAGGCAACGAUGCGUAGCCGACCUGAGAGGGGGGACCGGCCCACCGGGAACUGGAAACCGGCCCAAACCCUAAGGGAGGGCAGAGGUGGGGAAUUUGCCGAAAUGGGGGAAACCUUGACGGGGCAACGCGGGGGGGGUGAUGAGGGUUUUGGGAUCGAAAAACCUUUUUAUUGGGAAAAAACAAAUGUGUAAGUAACAAUGCCCGUUUGACGGGUACCUAAGAAGAAACCCAGGGCAACCUACUG
rnacentral:rRNA from 1 species